UACGUAGGGUGCAAGCGUUGUCCGGAAUUAUUGGGCGUAAAGAGCUCGUAGGCGGUCUGUCGCGUCGGCUGUGAAAACCCGAGGCUCAACCUCGGGCCUGCAGUCGAUACGGGCAAACUAGAGUACUGCAGGGGAGACUGGAAUUCCUGGUGUAGCGGUGAAAUGCGCAGAUAUCAGGAGGAACACCGGUGGCGAAGGCGGGUC
rnacentral:rRNA from 1 species